UACGUAGGGUGCAAGCGUUGUCCGGAAUUAUUGGGCGUAAAGAGCUUGUAGGCGGUUUGUCGCGUCUGCUGUGAAAAUCCGGGGCUCAACCCCGGACUUGCAGUGGGUACGGGCAGACUAGAGUGUGGUAGGGGAGACUGGAAUUCCUGGUGUAGCGGUGAAAUGCGCAGAUAUCAGGAGGAACACCGAUGGCGAAGGCAGGUCUCUGGGCCAUUACUGACGCUGAGAAGCGAAAGCAUGGGGAGCGAACAGG
rnacentral:rRNA from 1 species